rnacentral:lncRNA from 1 species
UUCCUCUGAGAGCUCUUCUUGGACUUGCACAGGAGCGUGGGGUUUCAUUCCCACCCAUCUGUGGACCCUUCAACUCCUCUGUCGAGGCCUCCGACCCCCGUCAGGGUCUGGGGACUCCCAACCUGGGUCCCAACAUGAAAGCCGGCCAGGCACCCGGCCCAGGGCCCCAGUGUGUGCUACAGCAGGCAGAGUGCUCGGGGUGGCAAGCUGAGCGGUCCUUGCUGGCCUCUGGCUGCUCCCCCGCUAUGCAGGACGGCGUCCAGGCCUCAGUCCUGUCCCAGAGCUUCCUCUGUCCUUCAGUCUGGGGCCUGUUGCUGGUGUCAGAGGUCUGGGACCUCGCAUCUUCUCCACUUGGAACCUUUGGCCACAAGGCGCCAUCUGCUUCCCUGCCCACUUAUUGCUGUGGGCGAUGCGUGCCCCUGCCGCGUGCCCCUGCCACACACUUGGGCUGCUGCCUUUCUGUGCUGUGUUGGCCAGUUCCAUGCCUCUGGGCCUGAGGGGUGGAAAGGCAAGAUGGAAGCAAGUGACGUGGCUCCUGGCAGUGGAGGGGGGGCAGAGGGUCCCCUCCCCACCUGUCUCUACCACCUUCCCACAGCCCCUUGGCAUUAUGGACCCACCCUGGGUUGAUCAGCCCCACCCCUGGACACAGCUUUCCUGGGGACCCGCUUCCCACACAGAAGCGCCAGCCAGGCCCGAGCCUCUUCUCCUUCACGUGCUUCUGUCUGUGGUCACCGGGGCUGCCUCAGCGUCCCCUCGUUUCUGGGGUGUGGUCUUCUGCCCUCGGGACUCUGUGCCGACUCACCACCCCCUGGCCCCACAGCCUCUGGCCAGAGGCCAGGCCUCACUCUGAGUGGGCGAUGGGUCUGGCUGGCUGGACCGUUGGGUGGCGGCUCCCAGUGCGCCUCUCCUCCACGCCCUCGUGUGGGCCCAGGGCUGCUGGACGUGCAGGUGGCGGCUCUCCUCAGGGCUGGGAAGUCUCUGGGUGACGUCACCCCUUGACCCGCCCCGCAUCUUGCUGGUGGCCCUCCUGCCGCUGGGUCAGCCCCGCUUUCCUGUCCUCUCCCUUCCCAGGCUGGGUGAGCCCGUGAGCUGCUUCCUUCUGUCUGCUCAGGUCCGUGGCUGCAGCAGCUUCUCCUGCUCCCUCGCCUCCUGCCGGGUGCACGUCACUCAGGACUUCACUUUCCAGACGUGGCUCCCGUAGGCUUUGAACACACUUUGUGAGAAAACUGACCAGAACGGUCUGGCCCACAGUGCAGCCCAGGCGCCCGUGCGGCGGGAGCAGGCCUCACGGCAGGGCUGCCUCUCCUUCAGCAGAGUCAGGAGGCGGGGGGCCACUCUCUGGGUAGAAAACGGCCACCGGUUACAAGAGGGGUCUGGGUUUUUGAAGGUCACACUGAGAGGUGACUUAAUUAUUGACAGAAGGGGUCAGUUUGGGCACUCAGGAAACAGGUCGUGAGAAUUUGAAACUUGUGUUUACUGGCAAAGGAUGAGGGUCACUAUAAAGGGUCCAUGUUUAUCUGGGGACUGCCAUUUUCAGGACUGAUUUGUGCUUCCUUCCCAGGGAUUUGUCUCAUCACUGGGAAAGGAUUUACUGGGAGAGGGUCAAUGUUCUCCCUUCUUCCUCCUCCCCCUGUCCCCCAGGUCACACUGUCUUGGGGCCACCCGUUUCCAAAUCCUCCGUGCUUCAGAUAGCCAAAGUCUUUGUCCAGCACGUCCAGCCUCUGGACUUCCUCAGUGACAGUUCCUAUUGGUUCUAUCUUCCCCAAUGCCAUAUUCCUUUGUUUUUCCAUGUCUCAUAAUUUUUGGUGAAAAUGGACAUUUAAAAUAAUGUGGCGACUGUGGAAUCAGAUUCUACCCUCCACUUAGGGUCUGUUGCUUUUCUCCUUGUUGUGAUUUGUUAAGGAUUUUUCUAAAUCAAUUGUAUGAAACCUGUAUUCUUUGCCAUCUGUGCCCAGUGUCUCUCCUUGGUUAACUCAGCGACUGGUUAAUUUUUAGGAAGGGUUCUCCCUAAUUACCUGGAACCGAUAACUCUUUUGGUUGUGGCCUCUCCAUGUUCCUUGGGCAGGAUCUCAACCCUGAGCCACGAGAACCUUGCAGUAGCUCUCAAGUCCUGCUUGCACAGAGUCUCGGAUUCAGAGCCAGAGCCUGGACCCUCCAAGGUCUUUCCUGAGCAUAAGCACCUCCCUGGCAAUGAGUGUCCUCUAGUUUACCUGGAAAAUGUUGGAAUUUCUCAAAGUUCCCCAGGGACAUCCCAUUCCCAAGCCUUUUCUUCCAGCUUGUUGGUUAGUCUAUUAUUUAGCCAAUGUCUGGGCACCACCUUGGGCAACUGCAGCCUCCUCCAAUUGCCUGAGUGUCGUGGGCAGCAGCCACCAGGUGAACUCUGAAUCAAGUCAAGCACAACCUCCCAGUGGGGUCUCCUGGGGCAGAUGGACACAGAUCGUCAGUUUCUAAGGCUUCCACAGAGCUGGAGAGAGGGUGGGGUCUGGGGCAAGGGAAGGCAGCAAAGCUUGCUAUUUUCACCAGAGUUUGCCUAUUUUAUUAACAGAAUAAAACAUCUACAGACAUCUGCAAGCCUCUGGUUAAUUUCCAGGUGAGGGGGAAAAACGUCUGCUUUGACAUGUUUGCCAGUUUUCUCACCGACUCUAUGGGGAGAGGACUCCCAGAAGCCCGUACUUGGCCACUGUGCAGAGGUGAUGGCAUCUCACUUUGAAUUAGGGGACAUCAUGGCACAUGCUGCUCCAAACAGACAGACCCCCUCUGGGGAAGCCAGACAGUGGUACAGCUGAGGAAAGCUGUAUUGAGAGCGCCCGGCAGCACGAGAUCCUCCUCCCAGACCUGCAGCCACAGGCACAGCCUGGCCUCCCUGUGCCUCUGGGGGGUCGGGGCCAACGCGUGAGAGUGCAGGGUCCAGACACGGUGGGGUGUCCAGGGCACAAAUGAGGGCAGCUGUGUGUGGCUCCAUUUUGCAGUAGCUUGAACACUAGGACAGGGAAGAGGCUGCCACGGGUGCUGAGAAGGGCGCCCUCCGCCGUUCCUCUAGGUGCUCCCCUGGAGGGCGAGGCCUUGGAGCUGGGCUCAGUACUUGGUUCCUGGAUCUGCUCAGACUGUGGGUCAGAAGCACCCAGACAACCGUGGCCCAGUUGGGAGGUCAGGAGGUGUGCUCUGGGUGUGGGUGUGGGUUAGCAGGGCAGCAUCACCGUGGGUUUGAUUUCUCAGCAGGUGACGUCAGGAGUCGGCUGCACCACGCUGUCUGGUGUGCAGCUCUGGAAAUCCAGCCUCCUCCAGCCCCUUAACAACCUGCAGCACAACCCCGUGUGCUUCUUCUUGUUGCAAUGGAGUUCCUUCUCUGCAGGAACCCUCAUCAAAAAUGAAAGCAUGGCGUGUGUGGUAGGACAUCCCAGGUGCUCCUCUGGGCUGGUGUCACAGGCUUCUGUUUGAGACCCAGACAUGCAAGACAGGAAGAAGCUGCAUGGGAAGAGUUCUUCAGGCAGAGGAGCUGUGGGUGCAAAGGCCCUGGGGCAUGAGCAAGCUGGGAGGUCCUCGUGAAGGGAAGGCCGUGAGGUGCUGAAAGGAGAAGGGGUGGUAUUAGAGGGAGAGUCAGACUGUGUGCCCCAUUCCUCCGAGAGCAGCCCCCAAGGGUCGGAGCGGCCUGUAGAAAGCAUGUGUGUUCAGACACUGGGCGCCUGGCAGGAGCCAGGCCUUGGGUAAAUGUGUGUGGAGUGGGCGAGUGAGCAGAGGAGA